UUCCACAGUUGCACGUACAUGCGCUCCCUAUAUUACCAUCAUUAAAAAAAGGCGUAUGAGUGCAAAUGAUGCAAAAAAUUAUACAGACUAUUGACACAAGAUAUAAUAUGACUUACCACAACAGUUAGCACCAAACAAUAGCCAGAUAGCCAGAUUCCUAAAGAAAGAGAACAUUCAAAACAAAAAAGCCAGUAGAAGCCAUGAGCAAUGAAUUGCAGUGAGAUAAAUUCAAGCUAAUUGUGAAAAUGCCAACAACUGUGAAUAUUAUGUAUUUUACAUAACCAUUGAUGGAUUUUUGUAAUAUCAGGAUUCCUGAUAAGCAUUUUUUACUAUAGGAAGGGGAUCGCUGCUAUAUUAAUUUUUAAACUGUAAAUUUCUUAACCUGCAACACAGACUAAAUGAGGCUAGAAUCACAAUAUCAUGUUGAACAAAAAAAUGCCAUUUCAAUAUGAAAGACUUGGCCUUUUUAUUGUUAACUAGGUAAAUGAAGCAAGUGCACGCCAUGAUAUUCAAGUUCACCGAAACUCUAUUUCAGAUUAUUUUUCCUAUGAUGGAGCUAAAAUAUUCCUAUAUACUUGUAGGAAUCAUAAAUCACUAAAUCAACAGGAAGUCCGGUCAUAGAUCACUAUAGUUCCUCUGCAACAAACUGGAGCUAGCAAGAUGAAGAAAACGAUGCCUGAUUGUUAAAGCAAAGUGUGGAUAGAUACCUAUAUAUAGUAAUUAGACACUUAUAUGCUAAACCAAACGGCACCUGAUUGUCUUAAAGCACUAUAAUCAUUAUUCAGUAUUUAGAUACUUAUAUUUUAAAAGGUGGACAGAUACGUCAAACCUUUCCUAUGCUAGCAACCAAUAUUGGUACUUAAAAUUAAUACCUCACUAUGGUUCAGCUCCUCUGUAGUAUUGGCUCGCCUCGUCAUUCUCGUUAUGCACAGGUUUUGUUUGCCGAGGUGGCAUCAGCUCCAUGGUGGCCUCCUCCGAGCUACUGUGCUCAUCGACGCCCAAGAAAAAACCAAAAAAGAAUCUGGCUAUUUAUACAUGACGACAACAACAAAUAAUUAUGAGGGUAUACAAGACCAC
rnacentral:lncRNA from 1 species